rnacentral:rRNA from 1 species
AUUGAACGCUGGCGGCAGGCCUAACACAUGCAAGUCGAACGAGUGGCGGACGGGUGAGUAAUGUCUGGGCAACUGCCUGAUGGAGGGGGAUAACUACUGGAAACGGUAGCUAAUACCGCAUACCAUCAGAUGUGCCCAGAUGGGAUUAGCUUGUUGGUGGGGUAACGGCUCACCAAGGCGACGAUCCCUAGCUGGUCUGAGAGGAUGACCGCCCACACGGGAACUGAGACACGGCCCAGACUCCUACGGGAGGCAGCAGUGGGGAAUAUUGCACAAUGGGCGCAAGCCUGAUGCAGCAAUGCGGCGGGGAGGAAGAAGGCCUUCGGGUUUUAAAGUACUUUCAGCGGGGAGGCGUUACCCGCAGAAGAAGCACCGGCUAAUUACGUGCCAGCAGCCGCGGUAAUAC